rnacentral:lncRNA from 1 species
GAAUUUCAGAGAGUUGCCAUGCCCCUCCUUCAUUCUCUGCCGACCCAUGGCUGGAUUUUUCUAUGUGAUGGUGAUGAAAUCACCUGAAAGCAACUCAGACGACGGAACAAUCAGAUGACAGCUGGGCCUUCUAAUUUCCAUGUCAAGGCAUAUCAUAUUUGAACUUGGAAGAUCGUAAAACUUUUAGAAAUUGAUGUUCCUUUGUUUUCUGAAGAUGUGGAAACAGUUUACCUCAAUUAUUGGUGCUGAUUUUCCAUUGCAACCAGAUCAAAUUAUGUCAACAUGCAUUUUUAGUUUUCCCUUUAAGGUAUGAUGCUGUGGAUUAGAUGGUCCUAAAGUGAGUAUUGGAUCUUGACAACUGGAAGAAAAUCUGCAAAAUAUGUGAGAUCAUUCCUCUGGUUUGCAUUUCCCUAGAGAUGAUCCUCACUCUGAUCACGUUUAGUGCAUGAUAAAGAAGCAACUGACAAUAAAGGAAAUGUAAAAGAAUGUGUAUCCAUUAUUAAAAAUUCCAGCACUACAUCCAUCCAUCUUAGGUUGAAAAGUCACAGAGUUCUUUUGGAAGUCUUUAUCACAAACACUGAUUUCCUAUCUUGUGUGGGUCCUUCCUAUCAGGAGGUUGAUCUGGGUUUAUUUAGGUAGAUUAGCUUUGUGAAUAUGUCGCAGUGAAAAAAACUUGCAGAAAAAAA